rnacentral:misc_RNA from 1 species
GAAAUGCGAUAAGUAGUGUGAAUUGCAGAAUUCAGUGAAUCAUCGAAUCUUUGAACGCACAUUGCGCCCUUUGGUAUUCCAAAGGGUAUGCCUGUUCGAGCGUCAUUUGUACCCUCAAGCUUUGCUUGGUGUUGGGCGUCUUGUCUCUAGCUUUGCUGGAGACUCGCCUUAAAGUAAUUGGCAGCCGGCCUACUGGUUUCGGAGCGCAGCACAAGUCGCACUCUCUAUCAGCAAAGGUCUAGCAUCCAUUAAGCCUUUUUUUCAACUUUUGACCUCGGAUCAGGUAGGGAUACCCGCUGAACUUAAGC